rnacentral:rRNA from 1 species
UACGAAGGGGGCUAGCGUUGCUCGGAAUUACUGGGCGUAAAGCGUGCGCAGGCGGUGAUGUAAGACAGAUGUGAAAUCCCCGGGCUCAACCUGGGAACUGCAUUUGUGACUGCAUCGCUAGAGUACGGCAGAGGGGGAUGGAAUUCCGCGUGUAGCAGUGAAAUGCGUAGAUAUGCGGAGGAACACCGAUGGCGAAGGCAAUCCCCUGGGCCUGUACUGACGCUCAUGCACGAAAGCGUGGGGAGCAAACAGG